rnacentral:rRNA from 1 species
CCUACGGGAGGCAGCAGUAGGGAAUGUUCGGCAAUGGGGGGAACCCUGACCGAGCAACGCCGCGUGAAGGAAGAAGUUAUUCGGAAUGUAAAGUUCUUUUAACAGGGAAGAAAGAGAAAUUGGACGGUACCUGAAGAAUAAGCCCCGGCUAACAACGUGCCAGCAGCCGCGGUAAUACGUAGGGCGCGAGCGUUAUCCGGAUUUAUUGGGCGUAAGGGGUGCGUAGAUGGCUUAGUAAGUCUUUUGUAAAAAUGCUGGGCUCAACCCAGUAGGGCAAAAGAUACUGCAAAGCUAGAGUAUGACAGAGGCAAGUGGAACUACAUGUGUAGCGGUGAAAUGCAUAGAUAUAAGUAAGAACACCAGUGGCGAAGGCGGCUUGCUGGGUCGAUACUGACAUUGAGGCACGAAAGCGUGGGGAGCAAACAGGAUUAGAUACCCGGGUAGUC